rnacentral:lncRNA from 1 species
GCACCAUCUUGGAAAUGCAAGAGAAAGGCCAGGCAGUGAUGUCGGAUUCUAGGUGUAAUUUAGACGUUGUCCACAAGAUGGCAGCAGUGUAAAGCUUCAGACUGAUACAAUAUUUGGUAUCAAGUCUGCCAGGAGUUUGCCCAAAUGUGCCGAAUUGGUCAAUUUAUACAUUUUCAGUAAUCUUGCUCUUGAUUUUGUCAUCCUGAGGGUCCCAGAGAUAAAAUGUAGUGUAGUUUUGUUUGGAAAAAUACUUUUUUAUAUUCAAACGUAGAGAACUGGAUUCUACAGUUUGACCCCAUUGCUGUCUCUGGUUCCACACCCACCAUACCCGGCCACAUAGAUGUGUGGAAGAUAAUGUUUUACACUCAGUGCAGUAAUCUGCUAAUAUCCUUCUUGGCCACUAAAAAGAGAGACACCAGAUAAACAAUACAAAUAUUUUUUUAAUUCAUUGACAACUUUGGUUUCCUACAUGUAACAUCACAUCAUGUAUCUAUCUAUCUAUCUAUCUAUCUAACUGUAGUAGUAUGUAACAUCACAUCAUGUAUGUAACUGUAGUGGUAUGUAACAUCACAUCAUGUAUGUAACUGUAGUGGUAUGUAACAUCAUGUAUGUAACUGUAGUAGUAUGUAACAUCAUGUAUGUAACUGUAAUAGUAUGUAACAUCAUGUAUGUAACUGAAGUGGUAUGUAACAUCAUGUAUGUAACUGAAGUAGUAUGUAACAUCACAUCAUGUAUCUAUCUAACUGUAGCAGUAUGUAACAUCAUGUAUGUAACUGUAGUAGUAUGUAACAUCACAUCAUGUAUGUAACAUCAUGUAUGUAACUGUAGUAGUAUGUAACAUCACAUCAUGUAUGUAACAUCAUGUAACGGCCUGGCCAUAGAGAGGGGUUUUUUGUUCUUUAUUUUGGUUAGGCCAGGGUGUUACAUUGGGUGGGCGUUCUACGUUCUGUUUCUAUGUGUUUGUAGUUCUUUGUUUUGGGCCGUGUGUGGCUCCCAAUCAGGCACAGCUGAAGUUCGUUGUUGCUGAUUGGGAGUCACACAUAAGGAGCAUGUUUUUCCGUUGGGGUUUUUGGUGGGUAAUUGUUUCUGUUUAGUGUUUUGCACCUGACGGGACUGUUUGGCUGUUCGGUUUUCUUGUUUUGUUUCGUAUAUUGUGUUCUUUCUAUUAAAUUAAAUUCAAUGAUGAACACUAACUCUGCUGCACCUUGGUCUACUCUCUCUCUACCGACAGCCGUUACACAUCAUGUAUGUAACUGUAGUAGUAUGUAACAUCAUGUAUGUAUGUAACUGUAGUAGUAUGUAACAUCUAUGUAACUGUAGUAGCAUGUAACAUCAUGUAUGUAACAUUAUUAGUAUGUAACAUCCGAUCAUGUAUGUAACUGUAGUAGUAUGUGACAUCAGAUCAUGUAUGUAACUGUAGUAGUAUGUAACAUCACAUCAUGUACGUAACUGUAGUAGUAUGUAACAUCACAUUAUGUAUGUAACUGUAGUAGUAUAUAACAUGUAUGUAACUGUAGCAGUAUGUAAAUUCAUGUAUGUAACUGUAGUAGUAUGUUACAUCACAUCAUGUAUGUAACAUCAUGUAUGUAACAUCACAUCAUGUAUGUAACUGUAGUAGUAUGUAACAUCAGAUCAUGUAUGUAACUGUAGUAGUAUGUAACUUCACAUCAUGUAUGUAACUGUAGUAGUAUGUAACUUCACAUCAUGUAUGUAACUGUAGUAGUAUGAAACAUCACAUCAUGUAUGUAACUGUAGUAGUAUGUAACAUCAUGUAUGUAACUGUAGUAGUAUGUAACAUCACAUCAUGUAUGUAACUGUAGAAGUAUGUAACACCACAUCAUGUAUGUAACUGUAAUGGUAUGUAACAUCAAUUAUGUAAAUGUAGUAGUAUGUAACAUGUAUGUAACUGUAGUAGUAUGUAACAUCAUGUAUGUAACUGUAGCAGUAUGUAACAUCAUGUAUGUAACAUCAGAUCAUGUAUGUAACUGUAGUAGUAUGUAACAUCACAUCAUUUAUGUAACAGUAGCAGUAUGUAACAUCACAUCAUGUAUGUAACUGUAAUAGUAUGUAACAUCAAUUAUGUAAAUGUAUUGGUAGUAUGUAACAUCAUGUAUGUAACUGUAGUAGAUGUAACAUUAUGUAUGUAACUGUAGCAGUAUUUAACAUGUAUGUAAAUGUAGCAGUAUGUAACAUCAUGUAUGUAACAUCUAUGAAACUGUAGCAGUAUUUAACAUGUAUGUAAAUGUAGCAGUAUGUAACAUCAUGUAUGUAACAUCAUGUAUGUAACUGUAGUAGUAUGUAACAUGUAUGUAACUGUAGUAGAAUGUGACAUAAUGAAUAUAACAUCAUGUAUGUAACUGUAGUCGUAUGUAACAUCAUGUAUGUAACUGUAAUAGUAUGUAACAUCAUGUAUGUAACUGUAGUAGUAUGCAACAUCAUGUAUGUAACUGUAGUAGUAUGUCACACCACAUCAUGCAUGUAACUGUAGUAGUAUGUAACACCACAUCAUGCAUGUAACUGUAGUAGUAUGUAACAUCAUUUAUGUAACAUCAUGUAUGUACCAUCUAUGUAACUGUAGUAAUAUGUAACAUCAGAUAAUGUAUGUAACUGCAGUAGUAUGUAACAUCACAUCAUGUAUGUAACUGUAGUAGUAUAUAACAUGUAUGUAACUGUAGCAGUAUGUAAAUUCAUGUAUGUAACUGUAGUAGUAUGUUACAUCACAUCAUGUAUGUAACAUCAUGUAUGUAACAUCACAUCAUGUAUGUAACUGUAGUAGUAUGUAACAUCAGAUCAUGUAUGUAACUGUAGUAGUAUGUAACUUCACAUCAUGUAUGUAACUGUAGUAGUAUGUAACUUCACAUCAUGUAUGUAACUGUAGUAGUAUGAAACAUCACAUCAUGUAUGUAACUGUAGUAGUAUGUAACAUCAUGUAUGUAACUGUAGUAGUAUGUAAUAUCACAUCAUGUGUGUAACUGUAGAAGUAUGUAACACCACAUCAUGUAUGUAACUGUAAUAGUAUGUAACAUCAAUUAUGUAAAUGUAUUGGUAGUAUGUAACAUCAUGUAUGUAACUGUAGUAGAUGUAACAUUAUGUAUGUAACUGUAGCAGUAUUUAACAUGUAUGUAAAUGUAGCAGUAUGUAACAUCAUGUAUGUAACAUCUAUGUAACUGUAGCAGUAUUUAACAUGUAUGUAAAUGUAGCAGUAUGUAACAUCAUGUAUGUAACAUCAUGUAUGUAACUGUAGUAGAAUGUAACAUGUAUGUAACUGUAGUAGAAUGUAACAUCAUGAAUGUAACAUCAUGUAUGUAACUGUAGUUGUAUGUAACAUCAUGUAUGUAACUGUAAUAGUAUGUAACAUCAUGUAUGUAACUGUAGUAGUAUGCAACAUCAUGUAUGUAACUGUAGUAGUAUGUUACAUCACAUCAUGUAUGUAACUGUAGUAGAAUGUAACAUGUAUGUAACUGUAGUAGUAUGUAACAUGUAUGUAACUGUAGUAGUAUGUAACAUGUAUGUAACUGUAGUAGUAUGUAACAUCAUUUAUGUAACAUCAUGUAUGUACCAUCUAUGUAACUGUAGUAUAAUGUAACAUCAGAUCAUGUAUGUAACUGCAGUAGUAUGUAACAUCACAUCAUGUAUGUAACUGUAGUAGUAUGUAACAUCACAUCAUGUAUGUAACAUCAUGUAUGUAACUGUAGUAGUAUGUAACAUCAUGUAUGUAACUGUAGUGGUAUUUAACAUGUAUGUAACUGUAGUAUGCAGCUUAAUACAGUGAGAUACAGUCUACAGCCUACUACAACAGUGAGAUGCAGCCUACUACAGUGAGAUACGCCCUACUACAGUGAGAUGCAGCCUACUACAGUGAGAUACAGCCUACUACAGUGAGAUGCAGCCUACUACAGUGAGAUACAGCCUACUACAGUGAGAUACAGCCUACUACAGUGAGAUGCAGCCUACAGCCUACUACAGUGAUACGCCCUACUACAGUGAGAUGCAGCCUACUACAGUGAGAUGCAGCCUACAGCCUACUACAGUGAUACGCCCUACUACAGUGAGAUGCAGCCUACUACAGUGAGAUGCAGCCUACAGCCUACUACAGUGAGAUGCAGCCUACUACAGUGAGAUGCAGCCUACAGCCUACUACAGUGAGAUGCAGCCUACUACAGUGAGAUGCAGCCUACUACAGUGAGAUGCAGCCUACUACAGUGAGAUACAGUCUACUACAGUGAGAUGCAGCCUACAGCCUACUACAGUGAGAUGCAGCCUACUACAGUGAGAUGCAGCCUACUACAGUGAGAUGCAGCCUACCACAGUGAGAUACAGACUACAGCCUACUACAGUGAGAUACAGACUACAGCCUACUACAGUGAGAUGCAGCCUACAGUCUACUACAGUGAGAUGCAGACUACUACUGUGAGAUGCAGCCUACAGCCUACUA